UAGUAUCAAGUGAAAUCUCAACUGUUGAAUUAAUUUAAAUGAAUUUAAUUAUAAAUAAAUUAUGUUUUAUAUUAUAGAUUAUUUCAUAUUCAAUUUGAAUGACUGAAAUGGCCUCACUCCAGACAUUCUCUCUGCCACUUUCUUUUUAGCAUCAUGCCGCCGCCCCCUUUCCAUUGUUCUCUUUUCACUCCCUCAUUCUCUCUCUUCUUUUUUUUUUAUUAACUUUUUAAAAAAAACAAAACAAAAAAAACAUCUUAGUAAUCCACUCCAUUACUUUUUUUUCUUUCUUUUUCUAUUAACUUACUGAGAAAUGCUAUGGGACCCCAUAACUGCACCCCAAAUGUACACCUGAUGAGGUGUCGCAUUGGGGUUGGCUGGGUGUGGGGUCCACCCAUGCUUUUCACCCCCUAAUCGCCAAGCCCAAUGCGACACCUCAUAGGUGUGCAUUGGGGUGCAAGUAUGGGGGUACCUAGCAUUACCAUUAACUUAAUAUAUGCAAUUCUAUAUCUUUCUCAAACUAAAGCCAUAAAACGCUUUAAUAAAAUAAUUAGGAAACAAUAAUUCUAUGACAUUAUUUUAAAUAGCACCAUCGAAGUAAACAACAGCUACCGAAAAACAAAAAAUAUAGGGCUGUAAAAAAUGAACUGAAUAAUAAUUUUUUCGGGGGGAGGGGGGGGGGGGGGGGGGUGUUUGGGGAAUUGUUUGUGUGGUUGUUUUUUUGUUUGUUUUUUAUAUUUUUUUUUUUUGUUUCUAUAGGCUCCGGUUGGUACCAUCUUUUCGGUGUCUUUUUCAGCUUAUAGUAAAAAAGUUAGACAUAGAAUUUUUUUGUUUAUUUGUAGUGAAGGUAGGGUCCACAAGCAAAAAACCAAGCGCUCCCCCCACCCCUCACCUCUUAAUUGUUUCUACCCCCCCACCACCACACAGUACCAAGGAGCCAAAUGCAUUAACUAUUAUUACACUGCUUGGGUGUGGGAGAACCGCGCUACCCCCUGUAGGGCGUGCCCAAGGCAGUUUUUUGUAAAUAAUUAAUGUUGCUAAUAUUUAUGCUUUUGAAUAAUUUUUAGUUUUAUAGUUUAGAUUAAUUUUUUAAUUUUUAUGGUUUUUAUCCAUGUAUAAUCAGUAAAUAUACUUGAGCGACGAAAACCGUGAAACCGAAUAGAACCAAACCGUUAUUCUCAUGAUUUGGUUUGGUCCUAUAAUUCUCAUGAUUUAGUUCUGUUUAAAAAAGCCUAAACCGUUACUCACGAUUUGAUUUACUGUUUUUUUCUAAACUGAACUAAACAAACUGUGACAGCGCCAUAUUUAAGCUAUGAAGUUGCAAUAUUUUAGAAAUUUUACAGUGAAGAAUUUAACCUAUAAAUGCAAAAGAUUAUCCAAAAAUUACCAUAAACAACUCAUAAGAAUUACAAUAACUAUCAACUUAGUAUAUAUGACGUGGGACUAAGAAUGAAUCCCAUGCGCGUCCAUAUGUGUUUUUGGUACUUUUUGAGUACUUUUUUUGGUUAUCCAACUUUUUUGUAAUUUUUAUGAUUAAUAAAGAGUACACUAAGCAAUACAAUUUGGGGAUAGAGAGAGGAGAGAUAGAGAGAGAUGUGACGGAUGACAUGAUGAAAAUGACUAACGCGGAGAAAGAAGGGAGGGUAAUUCGUCUUUUAUUUCUAGAUUCCAUGGCAAUGAUAAAAGCCCUAAUUUUUGAUAUUUGGAUCCAUGCGGCACUGACUCACAUACAACUACCUCUUCCAUUUUAUAAAUGUAUUACGUUUUUUAUUUUUAAAUUACUACUAUAUUUCUCUCUAUAGCACAUUUUUGUGCAAAAAUAAUAAAUUUAUCCUUUGAAUAGGGCUCCAUUUUUUUCCUCCAUAUACCCAUUAAAUAAAUUAAUAUUCUUUUUUUUCAAAACAUCAUUGGUUGUUAACUAAAUUAUUUUAAUUUUUAAUUAAUAAAUAUUUUUUAAAAAGUAAUUUAAUCUUAAAUAGUUUUUAUUUUUUAAGUCUAAUGAAAAUGUACUUAAAAAUAUACAUUGUUAUCAAUAAAAUAUUUUAAAAAAUAAUCUAAAUAUUUUACUUUUUAAGUUCUUCUAAUCUAAAUAUAUACUUAAAAAAUACACUUUGUCAUCAGUUUUCUUUUUUAAAAAAGAGCGAAAUUUUAUUUAUAUUGAGAAACUAAAUUUAAAACCCUAAAUUAAUGACAAUCUUGUUAUUUUUACGCAAAAACUAGCUCCAUACAAAAAUAAGAAAAUCUUGAUAUUAAAUUCAAAAAUAAGAGAAGUCAGUGUUAUUUUUAAAAUUACAUGAUAGAUAACUGUAUUUGUGAGAAACUUCGAGAAAGUUAGUGAAAUUUAUGCAAAAUUUUUCUUAGCAGUUAUUUACAUACUCCUCUUUUUUAAUUAUACCCUUUUCCAUAUUUUUGAAGGUAAAUUUUCUCAAAUACUUAUUUAUACCAUAUAAAAGGACAUUUUAGUAAAUUUAUUCUAAUAAAUACAAAAAGAAGAAAUACAAUU
rnacentral:lncRNA from 1 species